AUGUUUUCAAUUAUUUGAACAUUCCUUUGUCAAACCAUUAGUCCCAACUCGUUCCCACCAGCAUUAUUGUAUCCCACUUAAAUAUGCCACCUCAGUCACUUAUUAUUUUUAAACCUAUUGAUCAUGAGAUUCCUGAAACCAACAUCAAUAUGGCCACCAAAAUUGAUUCACUUAACAGUAUGAAACAACUUCUUCUGCAUAACCAAACUCUGAUUUUAGAAAAGUUAGAAGAUGUUCAGUUAUCUUUACUUACUGUUAAGUCUGUGGUAUGAUUUUUAAUGGAGAACAAUAGCCUGCUGAUGGGUCUCUAUCCGUUUACCACCAAUACCACUGCUGACUACACUGCUCCUGUUCCUCACCAAGAAGAUCCUAAUGGCACCAUUCCUGACAUUUCUCACUUCUCUCCUCU
rnacentral:lncRNA from 1 species